GAUGAACGCUGGCGGCGUGCCUAAUACAUGCAAGUCGAGCGAACAGACAAGGAGCUUGCUCCUCUGACGUUAGCGGCGGACGGGUGAGUAACACGUGGAUAACCUACCUAUAAGACUGGGAUAACUUCGGGAAACCGGAUCUAAUACCGGAUAACAUGUUGAACCGCAUGGUUCAACAGUGAAAGACGGUCUUUCUGUCACUUAUAGAUGGAUCCGCGCCGCAUUAGCUAGUUGGUAAGGUAACGGCUUACCAAGGCAACGAUGCGUAGCCGACCUGAGAGGGUGAUCGGCCACACUGGAACUGAGACACGGUCCAGACUCCUACGGGAGGCAGCAGUAGGGAAUAUUCCGCAAUGGGCGAAAGCCUGACGGAGCAACGCCGCGUGAGUGAAGAAGGUCUUCGGAUCGUAAAACUCUGUUAUUAGGGAAGAACAAAUGUGUAAGUAACUAUGCACGUCUUGACGGUACCUAAUCAGAAAGCCACGGCUAACUACGUG
rnacentral:rRNA from 1 species